GGGGGUAACAAGAGCUUAGCAUCCAGACGGCUACGAGCAGUAAAGCUUUCUUGUGGACUUGCACUCCUGUACAAGAUUUGUUUCAUAUCCUAGGGUUUUUAAAAAGCCACAAAUAGAACCUCACAGGUUCAUAAUUAGCAACUGGUUUAAAGCAGUAUCAACAGUCAUAGCACCAAUGAAGUGAGAGAUGGGGAAGUGUCUUCUAGGUGCCCCAACUAUCACUUUUUCCAAAUACCAGACCCACUUCAGAUUGUAAUUGCAAAAAUAUUUUAGUGUCUGUUUUAAUCUGGUUAUUUGAACUGGUGGGUGGGGUUUGCUGCAUCAGGAUAACAAAAGCUUGACUUGUAAGGACCGGUACCUUUUGGCAUUCACAAGCUUGUUUUGAGUGGCAAACCCCCACCCAUUUGGUUCUGCAAUCAUUUAAAACUAUUUUUUUUUUUAGCAACUACUAUUUGACAGCGGUCUGAUGCACACACAGACAUACCCUCUGAAAUCACCUUACUGCCUCGCUGUCCCCCUCCCCUCUCUCUCCCUGUGGUUUUUAGUGGUUAAGUGACUUUUGCAUCUCAGUGUAAUCUUUCUGUGUUGUAUAUACAAACACAUACCAGUUGCAUCCUUUGUAGAAUUAUGUGGUUUGCGAAGUGUCUUGUUUGCCAUGUUUGAGACCGUAUUUUUUAGAGAAGUAUUCUAAUUUUGCCUUUUUUUAAGAAAAGACCCACAAAAAAAACUAAAUCGGCAUGCUUUUUAUUGAGAAUAUGUAUACUAUAAUCAUUAUUAUAAUAAAGAAUGUUUUGGCUGACUACUGUGGUAAAAGAAAGCAAAGGGUUUGGACAUUUCCCCUUCUUGUUUAUGUUGUUUUUCUCCACUAUCUGUUUCUCUUGUGUAAAAUGACCACCAGACCCAUUUGACUGGGGAACCAGGGGGACUCAGGUGUAGAUGCUGGCCCAGCUUUGCUCUCUUUGGUCAGGGUAAGUGCGGGUUGGUGCUCUUUUCUCUCUCCAGCCUCUCAAACUGGGUGCAAACCAAAAUUUAUGAGAAAGAGUUUGCACCUAACCAAACGCACUUCAGUAUUUAAUUCAAGCAAGAAAGGCUCGUAAGGUCCUUUUUUAAAAAUGGUUUUCAUCCAGAAAGGACAUUAUACAAAUUAGCAUCAUGUUGAGAGCUGGGGAGAGGCACACAGAUAGAAUGGCCUGGGUGCAUUUUGAUCUGUGGAGCAGUCCUGUCUCUCGGUUGAUGGGUGUGCGUCUGGUCUGUCCCUGCUGCACCAAAUUCUCCCCCUCCGUGUGUCUCUGUGUCCACUCUACUCUUAGACCUGCAUGUGUGAUAAUCUGUAACUCUGCCGCAAGAAAGCCCCGCAACAGUCCAGCUCUGAACUAACUAUCUCAACUGAAUUAGGUCCCCGGGCCACCUGGAGCGGCCAGCGUGCAGCCGUGCGUGAGCGUGGCGGCAUGAGCCAUGGGGACGACUUUUAGCGCGACGCCACCACAGUGGGAACUUGUUCUCUCUCUCCUCACCACCAAGAGGCCUGGGCGUGCCAAUGGACUGUAUGUGUGGUGGCCCACCGCCGGACUCAGUAACAUGACACAGAGAGACUUCCGUGUUGGACAAGUCGCUUUGCUAAAACUGUUGAAAGCUGGGUUUGCUCCACAUGGCUGUGGAAGGGAUCUUAACUCCUGUUUCCCAAAAGAACUUAGUUGCAUUUCAUCUUUAGUGAUAAAUCAACCUCAAACAGUUUUCUUACCUUUGGGUCCCUCACAGCCUGUGUGCCAAUCAGAAACGUCCUAUAAGAUAGGCCUUAGGUAUGAGGCCAGUCUGACCUGUAGAUUCUCAGUCUCAGGGUUCCUAUAGGACUUUUCUGGUACGGCGUCUCUGUUCCUCUAAUGAUGGGAUCAUCUGGAGUGGCUGGAUAUGUGCUCUGCGUGACGUGUAUGUGUUCGUACGUGUUAAGAUUGUCCAUGUGGUGAGAUAGAGAGAGUUAACCCUCACAUAUGACAGGCUCUAUGUCAAAUGAGUUGUCUGACAUAUGCUCUGACAGCAGCAAGAUGGAAUCAAGAGGGCAUUGCCUACUGUCUGCCCAACAAAGGAGAGGGAUGAGUAAAUGAGUUUAUAAUAAGGUGAGUUGGUAGUGAAAGGAUCCUAUGUAAAAAAAAAAAUAAAUUAAAAAAAGCUGCUCCCUAACCUCACCUUCCUGAUCUUGGA